CCAGGAAAAGCCACAGCGCGUGUCCAGUCGAAGCUUAGCUCCAUACACUAGGACUGCAUAGGGAGGCCUCGCCAUUCAGACGGUUUUGCCUCAGCAAAAUCCAUUGUGUGAACAUAACCUAAUGGAAAGAUUGGUACCUUUUCUGCAUUUUGGCUUAUAAACGCUGAUGACUUACCGUGGGAGGGUAGGUUCACAGAGUUUUCUGCAUAAGCCCCGUGUGAACCUCCCCUAGGAGCAGGGCUGAGGUAGGGCGCUCCCUACAGCCAGUCAGAACAUUCUACAAGCUUCGCCGUGUGGAGAGCACGGGCCGACACGUCACUCCAAAGACUCCGCCCCUACGCCAGGGACUCGGCCCCGCCUCCAUGCGAAGCGUGCGCAUGCGUCGUGCGGCCCUCGCGCCUGGCAGUGAGCGGAGUCAUGAUGGCGGCGGACAGGCCGUGCUGAUGAGACAGCGAAAUAACCGUCAUCUAGAGGAGCGCCUAUCCGGGCAUCUGCGUGCCGCCCGACACUAGGAUCAUACGGUAACGGAGCAGCCUUCGCUGCUACACAGGCGGGGAGACCGAGAUCGGAAGCCUAGCCUCCAGGAGACGCCACCUCGCGGCUGCAGAGCUCUACCAGGCCGGAACCUACAGGAGACAGCGGGACCGGGAGGGUCACACAGCGCAGCCGCCAUGCAGAUCACUAUGAAAACGCUGCAGCAGCUAACCUUCAAGAUAGAGAUCAGCAGCGAGGAGACGGUCAAAGCUUUAAAAGAGAAAAUUGAACAAGAGAAGGGGAAGGAUGCUUUUCCAGUUGCUGGACAAAAAUUAAUUUAUGCAGG